CGUAGGUGGCAAGCGUUGUCCGGAUUUAUUGGGUUUAAAGGGUGCGUAGGCGGUUUUCUAAGUCAGCAGUGAAAUACGGCAGCUCAACUGUCGAGGUGCUGUUGAUACUGGGGAACUUGAGUACUGAUGAGGUAGGCGGAAUGGACGGUGUAGCGGUGAAAUGCUUAGAGAUCGUCCAGAACACCGAUAGCGAAGGCAGCUUACUAAGGAGUAACUGACGCUGAGGCACGAAAGUGUGGGGAUCAAACAGGAUUAGAUACCCUGGUAGUCCACACUGUAAACGAUGAUUACUCGAUGUGUGCGAUACACACGCACGCGUCUUAGCAAAAGCGAUAAGUAAUCCACCUGGGGAGUACGCCGGCAACGGUGA
rnacentral:rRNA from 1 species